rnacentral:rRNA from 1 species
AUUGAACGCUGGCGGCAUGCCUAACACAUGCAAGUCGACCGAGUGGCGGACGGGUGAGUAAUGUAUCGGAAACUGCCCGGUGGAGGGGGAUAACUACUGGAAACUGUAGCUAAUACCGCAUACCAUCGGAUGUGCCCAGAUGGGAUUAGCUAGUCGGGGGGGUAACGGCGCACCAAGGCCACGAUCCUUAUCUGGUCUGAGAGGAUGACCAGACACACUGGAACUGAGACACGGCCCAGACUCCUACGGGAGGCAGCAGUGGGGAAUAUUGGACAAUGGGCGCAAGCCUGAUGAAGCCAUGCCGCGUGUAUGAAGAAGGCCUUCGGGUUGUAAAGUACUUUUAGCUGGGAGGCGUUACCCGCAGAAUAAGCACCGGCUAACUCCGUGCCAGCAGCCGCGGUAAUUC